AAAACCUUACCUACCCUUGACAUGUACGGAAUCCUGAAGAGAUUUAGGAGUGCUCGAAAGAGAACCGUAACACAGGUGCUGCAUGGCUGUCGUCAGCUCGUGUCGUGAGAUGUUGGGUUAAGUCCCGCAACGAGCGCAACCCUUGUCAUUAGUUGCUACGAAAGGGCACUCUAAUGAGACUGCCGGUGACAAACCGGAGGAAGGUGGGGAUGACGUCAAGUCCUCAUGGCCCUUAUGGGUAGGGCUUCACACGUCAUACAAUGGUACAUACAGAGGGCCGCCAACCCGCGAGGGGGAGCUAAUCCCAGAAAGUGUAUCGUAGUCCGGAUUGGAGUCUGCAACUCGACUCCAUGAAGUUGGAAUCGCUAGUAAUCGCGGAUCAGCAU
rnacentral:rRNA from 1 species